GGAUGCGAUCAUACCAGCAGUAAAGCAUCGGAUCCCAUCAGAACUCCGAAGUUAAGCGUGCUUGGGCGAGAGUAGUACUAGGAUGGGUGACCUCCUGGGAAGUCCUCGUGUUGCAUUCC
rnacentral:rRNA from 1 species